rnacentral:rRNA from 1 species
UAGGGAAUCUUCCGCAAUGGACGAAAGUCUGACGGAGCAACGCCGCGUGAGUGAUGAAGGUUUUCGGAUCGUAAAGCUCUGUUGUUAGGGAAGAACAAGUGCCGUUCAAAUAGGGCGGCACCUUGACGGUACCUAACCAGAAAGCCACGGCUAACUACGUGCCAGCAGCCGCGGUAAUACGUAGGUGGCAAGCGGUGUCCGGAAUUAUUGGGCGUAAAGGGCUCGCAGGCGGUUUCUUAAGUCUGAUGUGAAAGCCCCCGGCUCAACCGGGGAGGGUCAUUGGAAACUGGGGAACUUGAGUGCAGAAGAGGAGAGUGGAAUUCCACGUGUAGCGGUGAAAUGCGUAGAGAUGUGGAGGAACACCAGUGGCGAAGGCGACUCUCUGGUCUGUAACUGACGCUGAGGAGCGAAAGCGUGGGGAGCGAACA